rnacentral:rRNA from 1 species
GAUGAACGCUGGCGGCGUGCCUAAUACAUGCAAGUCGAGCGAACGGACGAGAGGCUUGCUUCUCUGAUGUUAGCGGCGGACGGGUGAGUAACACGUGGAUAACCUACCUAUAAGACUGGGAUAACUUCGGGAAACCGGAGCUAAUACCGGAUGAUAUUUUGAACCGCAUGGUUCAAAAGUGAAAGACGGUCUUGCUGUCACUUAUAGAUGGAUCCGCGCUGCAUUAGCUAGUUGGUAAGGUAACGGCUUACCAAGGCAACGAUGCAUAGCCGACCUGAGAGGGUGAUCGGCCACACUGGAACUGAGACACGGUCCAGACUCCUACGGGAGGCAGCAGUAGGGAAUCUUUCGCAAUGGGCGAAAGCCUGACGGAGCAACGCCGCGUGAGUGAUGAAGGUCUUCGGAUCGUAAAACUCUGUUAUUAGGGAAGAACAUAUGUGUAAGUAACUGUGCACAUCUUGACGGUACCUAAUCAGAAAGCCACGGCUAACUACGUG